UACGUAGGGGGCAAGCGUUGUCCGGAAUCAUUGGGCGUAAAGAGCGUGUAGGCGGUCCGGUAAGUCGGCUGUGAAAGUCCAGGGCUCAACCCUGGGAUGCCGGUCGAUACUGCCGGACUAGAGUUCGGAAGAGGCGUGUGGAAUUCCCGGUGUAGCGGUGAAAUGCGCAGAUAUCGGGAGGAACACCUAUGGCGAAGGCAGCUCGCUGGGACGUUACUGACGCUGAGACGCGAAAGCGUGGGGAGCAAACAGG
rnacentral:rRNA from 1 species